rnacentral:rRNA from 1 species
GAUGUGAAAGCCCCCGGCUCAACCGGGGAGGGUCAUUGGAAACUGGGGAACUUGAGUGCAGAAGAGGAGAGUGGAAUUCCAAGUGGGGCGGUGAAAUGCGUAGAGAUUUGGAGGAACACCAGUGGCGAAGGCGACUCUCUGGUCUGUAACUGACACUGAGGCGCGAAAGCGUGGGGAGCAAACAGGAUUAGAUACCCUGGUAGUCCACGCCGUAAACGAUGAGUGCUAAGUGUUACGCCGC